UGUCCGACCAUAUCUUCCUCCACAGGCCUCCAAUCGACUUGAUUCCAAAAGCAAUUUUUCUCACCUUGACGUUGCCUAUAAUUUCUCUGAAGACAUCGGGGUGAAAAACGAACUGUGGAGGGAGCUGCAAGGCCGAGAAGCCUCAUAGCUCGAGCUGGAAAUCGCCUCCCUUCACCGGCUGAUAUCUUCCGAUUCCGGCCACCCCAGACGACCAAGUUAGAUUGUUGGGAGCGCCUUGGGACGUAGAUGAUGUUCCCGGAAGCUUUUGCCGAGAUUUGAAGCGUGGAGGAAGAAUCGACGGUUUGAAGUUUGAAGUUACUAUUCACGGUUCGGGUUCAACCUUCCCCUUAAUUGUUGAGGACGAGGUACCGACUCAUCGCUCGAUGAAGGAACUCGUUUGCGUGGUCGCCCAAUAUUUUCAGGCAAAAUUAGUUGAGGUCGGGCGUACAUGGAGUUGAGGCAUAGUCAACUGUAGGGCUUCCGCGUUUGCCUUUGAAUUAGGUUUUCCUUAUUUACCUUUCUAUUAGAAUUGCUCUGAUUACCUGUGGGAUUAAUGUUAUUCAAGUUAUGUUUUGUGUUAUGUGAAUUGGACGAUGUUGUGAUUUGGGGAGCAGGGUGGCU
rnacentral:lncRNA from 1 species